AAAGGAUUUAAGUUAAUCUUAAACUAAUAGCCUUCAAAGCUAUAAAUAAAGAAAUUAUAAAAUCUGCCCUUUAAGCCUU
rnacentral:tRNA from 1 species